CAAAAGCUUGGUCCUGACUUUACCAUCAAUUUUGAUCAAAUUUAUACAUGCAAGUAUCCGCGCCCCUGUGAGAAUGCCCUGCAUUUUUCCUACCGAAAAAAAGGAGCUGGAGUUAGGCACGCUAUUAAGCAGCCCACAAUUCCUUGCUUAGCCACACCCCCAAGGGAGCUCAGCAGUAAUAAACAUUAAGCUAUGAGUGAAAACUUGACUUAGUUAAGAUCAAGAGGGCCGGUAAAACUCGUGCCAGCCACCGCGGUUAUACGAGAGGCCCAAGUUGAUGGAUGCCGGCGUAAAAUGUGGUUAAUUUACAGUAUUACACUAAAGCAAAACACCUUCUAAGCUGUUAUAUGCUCUCGAAGACAGGAGGCCCUUUUACGAAAGUAGCUUUAAAUGGUAUGACCCCACGAAAGCUAGGAAACAAACUGGGAUUAGAUACCCCACUAUG
rnacentral:rRNA from 1 species